rnacentral:rRNA from 1 species
UACGUAGGGCGCAAGCGUUGUCCGGAAUUAUUGGGCGUAAAGAGCUCGUAGGCGGCUUGUCACGUCGGGUGUGAAAGCCCGGGGCUUAACCCCGGGUCUGCAUUCGAUACGGGCAGGCUAGAGUGUGGUAGGGGAGAUCGGAAUUCCUGGUGUAGCGGUGAAAUGCGCAGAUAUCAGGAGGAACACCGGUGGCGAAGGCGGAUCUCUGGGCCAUUACUGACGCUGAGGAGCGAAAGCGUGGGGGAGCGAACAGG